rnacentral:rRNA from 1 species
AACGAACGCUGGCGGCAUGCCUAACACAUGCAAGUCGAACGAGACCUUCCUGUCUAGUUGCGCUCGUGUGCGUAACGCGUGGGAACCUGCCCUUAGGUUCGGAAUAACUCCCCGAAAGGUGUGCUAAUACCAGUUAAUGUCUUCGCACCAAAGAUUUCUCGCCUUUGGAUGGGCCCGCGUUGGAUUAGCUGGUUGGUAGGGUAAAAGCCUACCAAGGCGACGAUCCAUAGCUGGUCUGAGAGGAUGAUCAGCCACAAUGGCACUGAGACACGGCCUAGAAUGGGACGGGAGGCAGGAGUGGGGAAUAUAGGAGAAGGGGCGAAAGCCUGAUAAAGCAAUGCCGGGGGAGUGAUGAAGGGCGUAGGGUUGUAAAGCUGUUUGACCCGGGAUGAGAAUGACAGUACCGGGAGAAGAAGCUCCGGCUAACUCCGUG